AUGACCUGUUUUCUCCUUACAAAAAAGGUGUGCAAGAACUUGAGAUCGAGUAUUGCAAAAUAUUGGUGGGGGAGUUCGCUUGAUUGGUGUUGCUUGCACUGGAUAGCAUGGGACAAACUUGCUACACCUAAAGUUAAGGGAGGGAUGGGCUUCCGUGACCUUCGACAGUUCAACCUGGCCCUGCUAGGGAAACACGGUUGAAGGUUCAUGACGAAUCCGGAGGCCCUAUGUACUAGAGUGAUGAAGGGGAGAUAUUUUCCAGACUCAGAUUUCAUGCAAGCCACCACCCCGAAAUCAGCAUCAGCCACCUAGCGAGCCAUCGUUGCCGUACGAGAA
rnacentral:rRNA from 1 species